rnacentral:lncRNA from 1 species
GCGUCUACUGGCUGCUCUGGAACAGAAUGGUCUGGCAUCCAAAACCAUGAGGUUAGAGUGACCCAAAUCCAACAGGGAUACCUCCUUCAGGGGAGCUACAGUCUUCAGUCCAAGGUUCAUCUUGGUGUCUACUAAUGUGGCAACGCUGGAAUGAACCAUCUUGAAAGCAAUUCCUGUGACCCGCAGUGACACCAGCUGGGCCAUGAACAUGCAGCAGAGCUUGCAGUGAGUGACACACAAAGCCCAGUGUAUACUGAAGACCAGCAAAGACCAGCUGAGACAUCCAGUGUCACGGACUGAACUGAGCAACUACUGGAUUCUUGGACUCUCUGUUCACUGCCAUCCACCAUUGGAAUAGCUGGACGGCAGCCUAUAAGUUAUUCUAAUAAAUUCAUAUUACGUGUG